rnacentral:lncRNA from 1 species
GCCAUCUAGGGCAUCCCCUAUAAAUAGGGGACUAGGAGUCGUCACAUGGGAUGAAGGGAUGCCAACUUUUGGCGCUCCAACUUCCCAUGCACCAAAUAAAUUCAUCAAGAAAAUUUUUGGUGAUUUUGAUUCUUGGAGUAGUACUCUUCCUUCUCUAUGUGUCAUAAAAAUUCUAUUAAUUUUUGACAUCAAAAUAUAGGAUUUCCUAUUUAUCUUUUAAGACUAUGCAUUUAAUAAAGAGCCUUCUUUAAGAAGGACUCUUUAUUUCUCAGACUGAUUUGAGGUAGGCGGCAAUUAUAUUUUUCAUGGAUUUUGAUGAACAUGGAGGAGUUCUUCUGCACUUAAAAUUGGUCUAAGUUGGAUAAAGAUCCAAUCCAAAUUGACCCAAUCUCAUUAAGUCAAAGCCAACUGGUCUAGGUUAGCUCAAAUACUUUGAACCAAACCAAUUUGGAAACUUGGGUUAAUACAAUAUGCUAGAAUAUCAAAUUAACCCAUAGAGUUUAUAUU